CUUUUAUUCAUCAAAUAUGUUUUCCUUUAUCAUUUUGUCCUUUGCCUUUAUAUUUAGAUAUUCUUUCCCAUGCUAUUGACCAAAAACAUUUUCUUCUGGUUCUUUUACAGUCUGUUUUGAAAUUCAAAGUGUAAAAUGGGGAUAUGGAGGAAUGGGCAAGACUUGAAUGCACAUGUUUCGUCGCCCAGGUUUGGGUAGUGCUGUCCUCAGUCUCUUGGGGCAUACUUCUUUCCGAGAUCUGGCACAAACGACCCCUCAGGGCUUAAAGACUUGCGAAUGACAGAUGAUGAAGCUCUGGAUCCGUGUUGAAAGCAGACUUCUGGUAAGUUUUCCUGAGUUGAUGUCUGGGCUUUUUCCUCUAAGGAGAUAGAUGUGAAGCUCUUAAUCUGGUGCCUUAUAGCGUGGGGAGCAGAAAGUUGGAAGCCAAGAUGCCCUGGCUG
rnacentral:lncRNA from 1 species